UUUGCCUUUCUGGCCCCGCUUUCCCAUUGCAACAGCAUUCCGCUGGCGGGUCCUCCUUACAGCGGGCUUAGCUGGCUCCUCAUCUAGAGACCAGGUUUGUUCUUGGGGAUGGACCUCUGUCUUGUUCUCCAUGUUAGAGGAAGACUAAGGAAAAGGUGACUGACGUCCUUUAUGGACUCUGAGCCUCAGCAUCAGACGGUGGAGGCUCUGACUCCUGAGAGCAGGAAACAGGUUUGCAAUAUUUUUCUGUCUAUGUUUGAAAAUCUUUACACUUUAUUUUGUUUUUCUACCUUGUACUAUUUUAAUGACAAGACGCCAAACAAAUAUCAAACAUCAAAUAAGCUUCUAAACUUAUAGAUGUGGCUUGUUGGACCGGAUCAUAUCGGUUUUCAGUCUUGAUCUCCAGAUGCUGAACCUCGGGGAACCGUGUCGCCUUUUUCCCGUUGUAAAUAGAGAGCGGGGGCUGCAGCGAGUAGGCCCUUUCCGUUACUGAGCACCGGGCCUGGCCUGGUUUGUAGUGUAGUCGAACUAAACGUACCACAUUGUUACAAAACUAUGUUUAUUGAUGCCAAAUUUGUAAAUGUUAGAGAACUCAAUGAACCUUUUUCUAAACGAAAAUUAGAGCCAUCGCCUAUCUGCAUCCACAAGCUUUCAUACUGGGUUCAGUACCAACUAGCCUGCUCCAGAAUGACGUUCAAUUUAAAUUAUGGUCGGACUGGGUCACUUUGACUGACAGCCAUUUAGACAAAGUGUUCACACUAGACAUCAAUCAGGUACUGGCCCGGAGACCGCCCAGGUAAGGUGUGUCCGACAAUGGAAACACAACUAAAUGCUACUGUAUGCUAGCGGUAGAAAAGCUAAGCGCAGCACAGUCAGGGUUAGCAUCCAGGAGCUAGCACGAUGCUAACUCGCGCCCUACUUUAACAAUAAUGGCUAAAUUAAAACUGGAAGCUACUAACAAAAACACAAUAACAAAUAAAAGUCGACAACGUCCUCACCGGCUAACAGCCAAACUCUUCUUCUUCUUCUUCUUCUUCUGUGUCGUCUUCUUCUUCUUUGAAGAUCUACGUCAGCCGCCAUCCAAAAUUGUUACAUUUCUGCCACCUACAGGACAUUGGUCUUCUUCUUCCUCUUUUGGGUUAAACGGCGGCUUGCGUCAUCAGCGUUGCACUGUCGAUUCUAGAACCCCCAAAUUCCUUUCUCUAGCCCAAUAAAACUAAAACUAAACUUAAACUUAGUCAGGAUCCUGUUUGUAGACUUCAGCUCUGCUUUGAACACAAUAGUUCCAUCCCUGCUUCAUGACAAACUCUCCCAGCUGAAUGUGCCUGACUCCAUCUGCAGGUGGAUCACAGACUUUCUCAAUCACAGACAGCAGUAUGUGAGGCUGAGGAAGCUUGUCUCUGAUUUCUGGAGCAUCAGCACCGGAUCCCCCCAAGGCUGUGUCCUUGCCCCCCUGUUAUUCUCCCUGUACACAAACAGCUGCACAUCUGGACACCAGUCUGUCAAACUCCUGAAGUUUGCUAUUAGGGAAGGAAGGGCUAUAGGCUAUUAGGCUAAAGACAUAGACUGGUGCUUUUAUUCUGAAACGAUUUGAAUGUGCUUAACAAAUAAAAAGCUCAAGGUUGAAAUAGUUUAAAAGUCGACCUGAUGGAAAGGUUAUUAUGCUAAUACAACAUUAUCCAUUAAUCAUAGGUUAACAGGGCUGAGAGAGGACAAAGCUGAAAAGGUGUCUCCAGAGGGGGGCCAAAGAUUAUAAAUAUGUUGUAAUUUUAACAUACUUAAGGUAUUAAUCAAAGGGUUGAAAUUUUUAAGUUCAAAAGGCGUAAACCCAAUAUAAAAGUAAAAACUCAAACAACGUGCAUCAAACAUUGUAAGUUUCAAUGAGCAUUUUAUUAUUAUUUUAAGACAUUGUACAGAAGUGGUCCGAGGGGGGGGGUUAUUCCCCUCCCUGAACAGCUAAGGCUUAUGGGUAAAGUAACUGUUCUUGUGUUUGUAGUGCUAUAGUUAAAGCUAGGAUUUAAGUAAUGUUAUAACUUUGGUGAAUUAAAUUUAUCCUUUUGUUCA